rnacentral:rRNA from 1 species
UACAGAGACUGCGAGCGUUAUUCGGAUUCACUGGGCGUAAAGGGUGCGUAGGCGGUCGGGUAAGUCAGAUGUGAAAUCUCACAGCUUAACUGUGAAACUGCAUUGGAUACUAUCCGGCUCGAGGAAUGGAGGGGAGACUGGAAUACUUGGUGUAGCAGUGAAAUGCGUAGAUAUCAAGUGGAACACCAGUGGCGAAGGCGAGUCUCUGGACAUUUCCUGACGCUGAGGCACGAAAGCCAGGGGAGCAAACGGG